UCCACCUCGGACCCCUCUUCGGCAGCAGCCUGCCCACUGGUCACAUUCGGAUCUCUCCUCUCUGAGUCACCUCAGACUUAGUUGGAGGAUUCCCCCAUGGGGCAAGAAGAUGGCCUGGGACAAAGUCAUCCCAUCCAAGACAGAUUCUCAUCCAGUCCAGGUUGGCCUUGAACUCCGCCCCCCUCUCUCUAUGCUGAACUAUUGUUACCACGCGUGUUCCACUGUGCCCAAAAGCCCAGCAGCUCCCUGAGGGCAGAACCAGGCGUCUCACUACCGGAGACAUCUUUAUGUAAAAGGCUCAACCCCUGUUUCUCUCUGUGCAAAAACAAAGCUGGCCUAUCACCUGUCUGUUCUUGCCCUAAGUUCCACAGCCCUAGUCUGUGAAGCUACGAGGGAAAUGAACUUGGGGGUGAGAGAGA